CAAACAAAAUAGUGUCGUUUCAACACCAUUAUUUAAAAACAAAGUUUUUUUUUGUGUUUCAUUUUCAACCCUCAAUCUAAAAAAAAGAACAGAAAGCUUCUAUGCUCUCUUCCCCUCCCCCUUUUUCUUUCCGUCGAUUGGGUUACUCAGAGAUCCGCCCCAUCGCCACCGACGACGGCGUUGAUCGCCGUGUACAGCAAAGGAGCGCAACCUAGGUGUGGCAGAGGCAUGGUGGUGGCAGAUGGUAUGGGAGUGGCUAGGGGAUGGUGCUGAGUUGUUAGAGGCAAGUGGGGAGAGGGUGGCUAGAAAGUGGGGUUAGGGUUUAGUUGAGAAAAAAUUUAGGUUGUGGGCUAGGGUUUUUUUUAAUUUUGAGUUUGGGUAGUGGGUCUUAAUUUUUGUAAAAGGCCCGGGCUAAUUUAGGCUUCUACAUACACAAUGAAAAUUUUUAAUGUUGUCUAAA